rnacentral:rRNA from 1 species
GACGAACGCUGGCGGCGUGCUUAACACAUGCAAGUCGAACGGAGUGGCGAACGGGUGAGUAACACGUGGGUGAUCUGCCUUACACUUCGGGAUAAGCUUGGGAAACUGGGUCUAAUACCGGAUAUUGCAAGAUGAGCUCGCGGCCUAUCAGCUUGUUGGUGGGGUAGUGGCCUACCAAGGCGUCGACGGGUAGCCGGCCUGAGAGGGUGUACGGCCACAUUGGGCCUGAGAUACGGCCCAGACUCCUACGGGAGGCAGCAGUGGGGAAUAUUGCACAAUGGGCGGAAGCUUGAUGCAGCGACGCCGCGUGGGGGAGGAAGGCCUUCGGGUUGUAAACUCCUUUCGAAAGGGACGCGGUACCUGUAUAAGAAGCACCGGCGAACUACGUGCCAGCAGCAGCGUAAUUC